UGAUAGCGAUGAAGCGUGAGGUUGCCGCCAGUCAGAUGGCGGGUUUUUCCGUGGAGCGAAUGUCAAGUUAUGAAACUGGCGACAA
rnacentral:ncRNA from 1 species